GAGURUGAUCCUGGCUCAGAACGAACGCUGGCGGCGUGCUUAACACAUGCAAGUCGAACGUGAUCCAGAGCUUGCUCUGGUGAAAGUGGCGCACGGGUGAGUAACGCGUGGAUAACCUGCCCUGGUAUCUGGGAUAACAUCUCGAAAGGGGUGCUAAUACCGGAUAAGCCUACGGRCUCCUCGGAKUCUGCAGGAAAAGGAGGCCUCUAUUUAUAAGCUUCCGUAUCAUGAUGGGUCCGCGUACCAUUAGCUAGUUGGKGGGGUAAUGGCCUACCAAGGCGACGAUGGUUAGCUGGUCUGAGAGGAUGAUCAGCCACRCUGGAAMUGAGACRCGGUCCAGACUCCUACGGGAGGCAGCAGUGGGGAAUUUUGCGCAAUGGGGGAAACCCUGAYKCAGCAACGCCGCGUGAGUGAUGAAGGCUUUCGGGUCGUAAAGCUYUGUCAGAGGGGAAGAAAUGGGUSGUGYUAAGGACACARCUAUUWCCAGGUWUCCUCCAAGGAAGGUCCCGAUMUCUSMUUCCCAGCARMCGSGGUCCAGUGWGSKG
rnacentral:rRNA from 1 species